UACCAGCUCUCCGAGUGGUAGGGAUGUUUAUUGGGCUUAAAGCGUCCGUAGCCGGCUUAGCAAGUCUCCUGUUAAAUUCAGCGACCUAAUCGUUGAGCCGCGGGAGAUACUACUAGGCUAGGAGGCGGGAGAGGUCAACGGUACUUCCGGGGUAGGGGUGAAAUCCUAUAAUCCCGGGAGGACCACCAGUGGCGAAGGCUGUUGACUAGAACGCGCUCGACGGUGAGGGACGAAAGCUGGGGGAGCGAACCGGAUUAGAUACCCGGGUAGUCCCAGCUGUAAACGAUGCGAGCUAGGUGUUGGGGUGGCUACGUGCCACUUCAGUGCCGCAGGGAAGCCAUUAAGCUCGCCGCCUGGGGAGUACGGCCGCAAGGCUGAAACUUAAAGGAAUUGGCGGGGGAGCACCACAAGGGGUGAAGCUUGCGGUUU
rnacentral:rRNA from 1 species